rnacentral:ncRNA from 1 species
ACAACUCCGUGUCUCGACAGUGCAAAGCGGAUCUGAGAAACCGCCCAGUAGUAUUAUGGAGGGGAGUUUCUAGUGUGCGUAAAGAAGGAUCUACACCUUCCCCCCCGCUCACUGUUAGGUACCAUUAAAGAGUCGAGUUGUUUGGGAAUGCAGCUCAAAAUGGGUGGUAAAUUCCAUCAAAAGUUAAAUACAGGCAAGAGCUCAAUGGUGAACGGUAACUGUGAGGGAAGGAUGAAAAGAACUAUCAAAAGAGAAUUAAACAGUACGUGACAUUGUUGAAAGGGAAACUGCACUCGAAGUUACUCACGUCCGCUGGGACUCAGAAAUCAGG